AAGCAAUUACGAUGCACAGAGACAUUGUUCCUCGAGCCUUCUCUUGCAAUUUUCCUAGCCGUGUUUUAGAGCUUUUAAAGGCUCUUAAUGGGAAGUUUCGACACCAUCCUUGUCUCAAUAAUCAGGUAAUGUAUCUGCAUUUUUGAAAACUGUAAAUGCAACUGAAUUAGAACAUGGAUAUUUAACUAUUUAUCUUGUUUUGCUACAGAAUCUAUUGUAUGCAUCAAUGGGGCAACUUCUGAUUUUACAACCAGAUGAGAAAUUCUCUCCUCCUCAUCAUCUCCUUCCUUGGGGAAUCGGUCUAUAUUUCCUAACCUCUCCAUUCUCAAACGAAGAUAGUGAAGAGAAGUUGCUCCGGGCUGCACAGAGAAUUUUCUUUAACUCGCCACAUCCACUUGACAUCUUAAGUGAUCGUAGUGCAUACGGUUCCGAAGGAACAAUCAUAAGAGAUCAUGACAUGAAAUCUUACUUGAAAUUCGUUCGAGAAGUCAUCCGUCAAGAGCAAAAUCGCAUCAGGAAGACCAAGAGAGAACAACGACGCAAGGACUGGUGGUCCCUGGUGUUAUCUCGAGGCGUCAGUGCG
rnacentral:lncRNA from 1 species